GGACCAGGGCAGAAAGCAGCAACUGCACAGGGAGACAAGAGUAGAUCUCCUCUCAAAGCUCAGAGCAAAGAGAAGGUACCAGAAGGGCUGUGUUUGAAAGCAGAAGGACCUUCCAAAACCAGAAGGCAUCAGGACCUCAGAAAGAGCCAACAGAGAGGGAAAGUGGAUUCCCGGAGGAAUAAGAUCCUGCUUCACGAAAGACAGCACCUAUUCCAUGUGGUUAAGGACAGCACACGUGUCAGAGAAAAACAGAGGGAAAAGGAAUGAGCCAGGAGCACCUCAUGUGCAGAUUUCCUGCUUGAGCCCCUGCUGAAGCUCCAGGAUGAAGCUGGACACUGCACACAAAAGGAUGUGACCAUGAAUUCCUACCUGGAUCAAAUUAUAUCCCGUUCGCUGAAUUAAGGCACGGAGGGCGGCUUCUUUCUGUGUGCCGGUCAAUCCAUCCCCGGAUUUGUGAUUUGAUUCCAUUGUGAGUGAUUAUCAGCAAAAAAUCAGGU